CACGCUUAGGCGUGUGACUGCGUACCUUUUGUAUAAUGGGUCAGCGACUUAUAUUCUGUAGCAAGGUUAACCGAAUAGGGGAGCCGAAGGGAAACCGAGUCUUAACUGGGCGUUAAGUUGCAGGGUAUAGACCCGAAACCCGGUGAUCUAGCCAUGGGCAGGUUGAAGGUUGGGUAACACUAACUGGAGGACCGAACCGACUAAUGUUGAAAAAUUAGCGGAUGACUUGUGGCUGGGGGUGAAAGGCCAAUCAAACCGGGAGAUAGCUGGUUCUCCCCGAAAGCUAUUUAGGUAGCGCCUCGUGAAUUCAUCUCCGGGGGUAGAGCACUGUUUCGGCAAGGGGGUCAUCCCGACUUACCAACCCGAUGCAAACUGCGAAUACCGGAGAAUGUUAUCACGGGAGACACACGGCGGGUGCUAACGUCCGUCGUGAAGAGGGAAACAACCCAGACCGCCAGCUAAGGUCCCAAAGUCAUGGUUAAGUGGGAAACGAUGUGGGAAGGCCCAGACAGCCAGGAUGUUGGCUUAGAAGCAGCCAUCAUUUAAAGAAAGCGUAAUAGCUCACUGGUCGAGUCGGCCUGCGCGGAAGAUGUAACGGGGCUAAACCAUGCACCGAAGCUGCGGCAGCGACGCUUAUGCGUUGUUGGGUAGGGGAGCGUUCUGUAAGCCUGUGAAGGUGUGCUGUGAGGCAUGCUGGAGGUAUCAGAAGUGCGAAUGCUGACAUAAGUAACGAUAAAGCGGGUGAAAAGCCCGCUCGCCGGAAGACCAAGGGUUCCUGUCCAACGUUAAUCGGGGCAGGGUGAGUCGACCCCUAAGGCGAGGCCGAAAGGCGUAGUCGAUGGGAAACAGGUUAAUAUUCCUGUACUUGGUGUUACUGCGAAGGGGGGACGGAGAAGGCUAUGUUGGCCGGGCGACGGUUGUCCCGGUUUAAGCGUGUAGGCUGGUUUUCCAGGCAAAUCCGGAAAAUCAAGGCUGAGGCGUGAUGACGAGGCACUACGGUGCUGAAGCAACAAAUGCCCUGCUUCCAGGAAAAGCCUCUAAGCAUCAGGUAACAUCAAAUCGUACCCCAAACCGACACAGGUGGUCAGGUAGAGAAUACCAAGGCGCUUGAGAGAACUCGGGUGAAGGAACUAGGCAAAAUGGUGCCGUAACUUCGGGAGAAGGCACGCUGAUAUGUAGGUGAAGUCCCUCGCGGAUGGAGCUGAAAUCAGUCGAAGAUACCAGCUGGCUGCAACUGUUUAUUAAAAACACAGCACUGUGCAAACACGAAAGUGGACGUAUACGGUGUGACGCCUGCCCGGUGC
rnacentral:rRNA from 1 species